rnacentral:lncRNA from 1 species
UUAUUAUUUAGUUUAAUUUUUAUGGAUAAUUAUUAUUUAGUUUAAUCUCCUUCUCAUUUAUAAUAUUAUUUAUUUAACUAAUAAAGUAAAUUACGAUUUUGGCCCCUGUGGUUAUAGCACUUUUACUCUUUUAGCACAAACAUAAUUUUUAACAUCUGAGCCCCCAACGUCUUUUUUUCUAAUCUUUUUGGCCCCUAAUGUCUUUUUUCUAACCCUUUUAGCCCCUAACUCAGAUGUUAAGAAAUUACGGAUAAAGUUCCAUGAAUUAUCUUAUUAUUUAUUUAUAUUAAUUACUAGGUUAGAAAUUAUAUCUUAAUAAUUAGAACAAAUAUCGAGCAUUUUCAUAACGAGGGUGGAGGGAACGAUUUUCUUCUUUAUAUUAAUUACUAGAUUAGAAAUUAUAUCUUAAUAAUUGAAACAAAUAUCGAGCAUUUUCAUAACGAGGGGGGAGGGAACGAUUUUCUUGCUUAACAAAUAAUUUAUUUAUUUAAUAUAUUUAAAAUACAAGAAGAAUAAUAACUACAUUUAUCAUACUAAUAAAUUUAUCCAAAAACAAUCAUCUUUUUAAGAUGCAACUCAAGUCUAUAUGUUUAAAUUUUAAACUAUAAGUUUAUCUAAUUGGCUAAUUGCUAUAUGCCUAAUCUAAACAUUUCAACAAUAUUUUUAGAACUAAUAAAUUAAGACCACUGUUAUUUAAAUAAAACUUGGGUUCAAGUCGUGAGAAAGUCGAUGAUACAGUUUGUCUUCUAAUCGAUGGUUCAAAUGUUUUUAUAUUUAUAAACUUGACAAACAUCACAAGUUUUGAUCAUACAUAAAACAAAAUUUUGUUCGGAUAUCAGAAAAGUGUCUUAAAAUAUCGUUUUAUAAUUGUUAAAUCUUCGUUAUUAACUAUUUGGUAUUUUAUUUUCUCAACCCGUGUAAUACACGGGGUUAUAACCUAGU